rnacentral:lncRNA from 1 species
UGGACCCCACUGAUGUUCAGCCUGCUGUUAAUGAAAUGCCACAUGGGCAGACAACUAAUUUUAAUGUGAGAGCAACACACUCACCUAACAGUGAUAUAAAUAGGGGUGAUAACACUAAUGGGAAGGGUAAAAAGAGGGUUGCGGUCAGUUCUUCUACUGAAACUUCUUUUGCAAUUGAAGAUUUUAGUGAAGAUGAAGAUGACUUCUAUAACUUUCAUAUAGCAACUAAUUCUGAGGGUAAUGUUGAGGGCGAUGUCCAGGGUGAUGCUGAGGGUGAUGAGUUGAAUAGUGAGAGUGAUAAAGAGUAUGAGGCUAAUUUUGAAGAAGAUGAUGAUGAUGAUACAGAUGAGUCCUUAUAUGGUUCUGAUGAGGAUAUUGCUGGUGAGACUAGUGACCUAGAACCUGAAGUUGUUGCUUCUAGGCAGGCUAAAGUGAAUGCAAAGAGUAGUAAAUUAAGGUAUUCUGAAGUUAAUAAUGAUGAGAUACCUAGUGGACCUGUAGGUAUAGACCCUGGUUUUGAAGAUAUGUACAAAGACAAGGGAUCCAUGAAAGUUAAUAAUGAUGAGAUACCUAGUAAAACUGUAGGUAUAGACCCUGGUUUUGAAGAUAUGUACAAAGACAAUGGAUCCAAAUAUGCUGGAAAGUUGGGAGGGGAUAAGCAAUAUCUGGACAGUUUAGAUCCAGGUAGUGAGGAUACUGAUGAAGAAGAAGAUGGGGUGCAUAACCCUCAACCAAGAAGGUACAUGGGUAGGGUAUAUUUGAUCCUGCUUGUAAGAAAAUUUGUUUUCAGUUUGAAAUGGUGUUUGAAAAUGUGAAACAGUUCAGAACUGCUUUGCAAGAUUAUGUUUUACAGAGAAGAGUUCAAAUUAAGUUGAGGCCUAAUGAGCAACAUAGGGUUAGGGCUAAAUGUGUUAAAUCAACAAAAUGUAGAUGGCAUAUUUUGGGCAGUAUGGAGGGACACAGAGGGAAUUUCAUUGUCAAGAGCUACCAUCAUGUUCAUAAUUGUAUUAGAGCAACCAUAAAAUGAUGGCUAACACAACAUGGGUAGCUAAACAUUACAAGGACAAGAUUAUCAACCAACCUGACAUGAAGCUUAAGAAGUUGCAGGAUUUGAUUAGGAUAAAGUGUGGUGUUUAUGUUGGAAAAUCCAUAUGUGAUAGGGCUAAACACCAUGUCAUGGGUCAGUAUCUUGGUGAUUACAAGAAGGAGUUUGCUAGAAUAUAUGAUUAUGCUGAUGUGUUAAGGUCAACAAAUCCUGGCAGCACUAUUGUUGUGAAGACCUCCAAAGAGACCAUACUUGGUAAGGAGGUGUUUGUGGGUAUCUAUAUUUGUCUGCAUACUUGCAAAGUUGGUUGGUUGGAAGGGUGUAGAAAUGUUAUUGGCUUUGAUGGAGCAUUUCUGAAGGGUGUGUGUAAGGGUGAGUUGUUAUCAUGCAUUGCCAAAGAUGGUAACAACCAAAUGUACCAUGUUGCCUGGGCAGUUGUGGAAAAG